rnacentral:rRNA from 1 species
UACGUAGGGGGCAAGCGUUGUCCGGAUUUAUUGGGCGUAAAGAGCGUGUAGGCGGCUUUACAGGUCCGUUGUGAAAACUCGAGGCUCAACCUCGAGACGCCGGUGGAAACCGUAAAGCUAGAGUCCGGAAGAGGAGAGUGGAAUUCCUGGUGUAGCGGUGAAAUGCGCAGAUAUCAGGAGGAACACCGGUGGCGAAGGCGGCUUGCUGGGCCAGUUCUGACGCUGAGGAGCGAAAGCGUGGGGAGCGAACAGG